UGUGCACCAGUGGGGUCCCUCAGCCUGGCCUGUGCCUUCUUGCUAUCCAGGUCCCCUCAGGGGAUGUUAGAGAACUGGUUUCGGCCCAAUCCCACAGGCCAGGCUGAGGGACCCCACUGGUGCAUG
rnacentral:pre_miRNA from 1 species